AUUGAACGCUGGCGGCAGGCCUAACACAUGCAAGUCGAGCGGAAACGAUCCUAGCUUGCUAGGAGGCGUCGAGCGGCGGACGGGUGAGUAAUGCAUAGGAAUCUGCCCGAUAGUGGGGGAUAACCUGGGGAAACUCAGGCUAAUACCGCAUACGUCCUACGGGAGAAAGCAGGGGAUCUUCGGACCUUGCGCUAUCGGAUGAGCCUAUGUCGGAUUAGCUUGUUGGUGAGGUAAUGGCUCACCAAGGCGACGAUCCGUAGCUGGUCUGAGAGGAUGAUCAGCCACAUCGGGACUGAGACACGGCCCGAACUCCUACGGGAGGCAGCAGUGGGGAAUAUUGGACAAUGGGCGAAAGCCUGAUCCAGCCAUGCCGCGUGUGUGAAGAAGGCUUUCGGGUUGUAAAGCACUUUCAGUGAGGAAGAAAGCCUUGGGGCUAAUACCCCCAAGGGACGACAUCACUCACAGAAGAAGCACCGGCUAACUCCGUGCCAGCAGCCGCGGUAAUACGGAGGGUGCGAGCGUUAAUCGGAAUUACUGGGCGUAAAGCGCGCGUAGGCGGCUUGAUAAGCCGGUUGUGAAAGCCCCGGGCUCAACCUGGGAACGGCAUCCGGAACUGUCAGGCUAGAGUGCAGGAGAGGAAGGUAGAAUUCCCGGUGUAGCGGUGAAAUGCGUAGAGAUCGGGAGGAAUACCAGUGGCGAAGGCGGCCUUCUG
rnacentral:rRNA from 1 species